rnacentral:rRNA from 1 species
CAUGAUUACGCCAAGCUAUUUAGGUGACACUAUAGAAUACUCAAGCUAUGCAUCCAACGCGUUGGGAGCUCUCCCAUAUGGUCGACCUGCAGGCGGCCGCACUAGUGAUUGUAGUCAUAUGCUUGUCUCAAAGAUUAAGCCAUGCAUGUCUAAGUAUAAGCAACUAUACGGUGAAACUGCGAAUGGCUCAUUAAAUCAGUUAUCGUUUAUUUGAUAGUACCUUACUACAUGGAUAACCGUGGUAAUUCUAGAGCUAAUACAUGCUAAAAACCUCGACUUCGGAAGGGGUGUAUUUAUUAGAUAAAAAACCAAUGCCCUUCGGGGCUCCUUGGUGAAUCAUAAUAACUUAACGAAUCGCAUGGCCUUGCGCCGGCGAUGGUUCAUUCAAAUUUCUGCCCUAUCAACUUUCGAUGGUAGGAUAGUGGCCUACCAUGGUAUCAACGGGUAACGGGGAAUUAGGGUUCGACUCCGGAGAGGGAGCCUGAGAAACGGCUACCACAUCCAAGGAAGGCAGCAGGCGCGCAAAUUACCCAAUCCCGACACGGGGAGGUAGUGACAAUAAAUACUGAUACAGGGCUCUUUUGGGUCUUGUAAUUGGAAUGAGUACAAUUUAAAUCCCUUAACGAGGAACAAUUGGAGGGCAAGUCUGGUGCCAGCAGCCGCGGUAAUUCCAGCUCCA